CCCCUGGCCACGACGCCGGGCACUUUUCUCGCGAGCCUGGGGCGCCCGCAGAGUCUCACCCGGGGUGCCCAGAGUUCCGGAGGGCGCGGGGGAGCCCGAAGGGGCGGGCAUGGCCCGCACGCCUCGGGCCCGGGGCGCGAGGAGAGGGAACCCGCCGCGGGCCCCCAGCCGGGGAAGCGGCCCAGAUCGACGGCCCCGCGUGCCGAGGGCUCGUCCCCAAGGCGGCCGCCAGAGGGCGCGGCGGGGCCCGGGGAGCGCUGGCCCGCCGAGCGAGCGUCGCCUCUUUCCCGCCCUCCGGGGGAGGAAAUGUGGGGGCCCGGCUGGGGCUCCGCGGCUGGGGCUCGGCGGCCGGCCCUGAGCGCUCCGCCUCGCGCUGCUCUGAGCUCCAGCACGUGGGCGGCUGCGGGGAGCGGUCGGGCGCGUGCACUGUGCGGAGCUGCGAUCCGGGAGCUGGGGGGGGCGUGUCCGAGGGGCGCCCCCGGAAGGGACGUGGGGCCGGGAUCCCGACGGGGACACAGCUGCUGGCUGCUGUCCCAAUCCGGGAACGUGCAGCGCACACCCGGGAGCGGUGCCCACUGCGGAGAGCCGCCGCACCUGCCCGGGCCGCCACGUCCCCCUGGCUCCGUUUGAUGCAAAUUUUUUAUGACAACGUCAACAUGUCAAGCACCAACAGGCUACAAAAUAGAGAUCUCCCUUGAACUUAUGUACCUCCUUCUGCUGUUUUGCCAUAUGGAGACUGCAUCUGCAGAAUAAUGUUUUGUUCUGACCACUGAUCAACCAGACAACUGAACACUCACUCAUGGACCAUAGAAAAGGGCUGGUCCCUACAUCACAUGGGGAGUGAAUAAGAUAUUAGACAUUAAGAGAAGUUCGGUAUGACUUCUGCUUUCAAAUACCUGAAAAUUGGCCACUAUUCUUCAUGCUGGACAAACUAAACUAAUGAGAAGAAAAUAUGCCAGUUCUUUGACAGAAUUUUCUGUAUUUUUCCGUUGACAUAAAUAAUUAGUAUUAUUUUGCAGUCUCUGCUUGCAACAGUGCUUUAUGUGGGAAAGAGAGCCCUCUUCAUCAGAAUGUCCAUUCACAUACAGAGCCCACAUCUGCUAGAAGAAUCUGGUCCACAGAAGCACCUUAUCAACUGAGAAGAUGUUGGGAUGACAUUUGAGAUCCCUUCCAAGCCCAGGAUCACUGAAUCUUCUAAUUCUGUGCUUGGAAUACCAUGUCCAGCAGGCUGCAGAAGGAACUUGGCUUUGCUUGAAAAUGUAUAGUGUUCUUCAAAGUUGAAGAUGCAUGAGUUCAGAAGGCUAUUACAUCUAUCUUACGUUAUAGAAAGGCUGAUGAAUUUGCUCCUGAAAGAGUUUCAAGGCCCAGUUCCAACAGGCUGAGAAGCCAAGUUAGGAAACCAGGUAUUGCUUUCAAAUCAGUCCUAUUGAAGGAGAUGGUUGGAACAGGUGGGAGUAGAGAUGGAGGUUAAGAUAGUGAUUGAUAUGCAGGUAAAUUUUUGAUGUAGGCUAUGGGAGGGGGAUGUCCUGAUUUGCUAAGUUUGCCAAUUUCACUGAUACGAAUAUUCCCACUAUGACCAACUUGGUCAACCAUUGUGACAUUAUUGGGUACAUAUUCCAAAGAGAUGCACCCUGUUAACUCUUACAAGACAGUUUGAGCUUGCUCCAGUAAAUCCCUGGGUUAAGAUAUCCAAGAAUCUUGUUUUGCCUUUGUAACAAAUAAAAUAUUAUUCAGUAACCAAGCCAGUACAAAAAUAGCAGUAGCCAUAAGCAGGCAUUUCACAACAGAAGAAACCAGAAUAUCCAAUAAGAUAUACUCAGGUCCAUGUGUGGCAAAAUUAAGAAUUGGACAGUACCAACUAUUAACAAGGAUAGAUGGAGAGAAUUGAAUUUGCUGCUGCUGGGAAGAUAAAUUAGUCCGUCCACUUUGGAGAGCAAUUUGGCAAUAUCCAAAGUUUAAAAAUAUACCUACCCAACAACCCAGCAAUUCCAUUCAUAAAGAGAAUAUUCUAAAAGCUCUUGACUCAUGCACUAGAAGACACAUAUAAGAAUGUUAAUUAGAACACUGUUUCAAUAGUAAAAAAACAAGAAACAAUCUAAUUGUCUCUUGGAGGAAGGAUGAAAAACGGUGCUUUAUUUGUGCAAUAGAAUACUAUACAGAGGUUAAAAUGAAUGAACUAGGUCUAAGUGAAUCAACGUAGAUUUAACAGCCAAUAUUGUGCAAAUGAGCAAUUUGCAAAG
ensembl:lncRNA